UGGCGGAAUGCUUUACNCAUGCAAGUCGAACGGCAGCACGGGGCAACCUGGUGGCGAGUGGCGAACGGGUGAGUAAUACAUCGGAACGUGCCCAAUCGUGGGGGAUAACGUAGCGAAAGUUACGCUAAUACCGCAUACGAUCUACGGAUGAAAGCGGGGGAUCGCAAGACCUCGCGCGAAUGGAGCGGCCGAUGUCAGAUUAGGUAGUUGGUGGGGUAAAGGCUCACCAAGCCGACGAUCUGUAGCUGGUCUGAGAGGACGACCAGCCACACUGGGACUGAGACACGGCCCAGACUCCUACGGGAGGCAGNAGUGGGGAAUUUUGGACAAUGGGCGCAAGCCUGAUCCAGCCAUUCCGCGUGCAGGAUGAAGGCCUUCGGGUUGUAAACUGC
rnacentral:rRNA from 1 species